ACACCGCAAGUUCCUUUAUCAUAAUCCGAUGCAAAAGCUCGACAACCAUACUAUGGACUCAAAAUUCUUAGGCACCAUACUUAUUUUUAAAUCUACUAGGACAGUCAUUGCGAGUCACCCAUUUUGACUUGGUCCCGAAUAUAAUCAACGACAAGGCUCCUCUAGCACAUGACCAUCCUCUUAUAGAAGCAACCGGCUGAAUCACCUUC
rnacentral:lncRNA from 1 species